UCUCCGUAGGUGAACCUGCGGAGGGAUCAUUACAGAGUUCAUGCCCUACCGGGUAGAUCUCCCACCCUAUGUUAUUAUUACUUUGUUGCUUUGGCGGGCCGUUAGGCUCCGGCCCGACUACCGGCCCCGGCUGGUAAGCGCCCGCCAGAGGACCCAAAACCCUGAAUAUUAGUAUCGUCUGAGUACUAUAUAAUAGUUAAAACUUUCAACAACGGACCUCUUGGUUCUG
rnacentral:misc_RNA from 1 species